rnacentral:rRNA from 1 species
UGAGUAACACGUAUCCAACCUGCCGUCUACUCUUGGACAGCCUUCUGAAAGGAAGAUUAAUACAAGAUGGCAUCAUGAGUCCGCAUGUUCACAUGAUUAAAGGUAUUCCGGUAGACGAUGGGGAUGCGUUCCAUUAGAUAGUAGGCGGAGUAACGGCCCACCUAGUCUUCGAUGGAUAGGGGUUCUGAGAGGAAGGUCCCCCACAUUGGAACUGAGACACGGUCCAA